AUUGAACGCUGGCGGCAGGCUUAACACAUGCAAGUCGAGCGGGGUGAUGGUGCUUGCACUAUCACUUAGCGGCGGACGGGUGAGUAAUGCUUAGGAAUCUGCCUAUUAGUGGGGGACAACAUCUCGAAAGGGAUGCUAAUACCGCAUACGUCCUACGGGAGAAAGCAGGGGAUCACUUGUGACCUUGCGCUAAUAGAUGAGCCUAAGUCGGGUUAGCUAGUUGGUGGGGUAAAGGCCUACCAAGGCGACGAUCUGUAGCGGGUCUGAGAGGAUGAACCGCCACACUGGGAUUGAGACACGGCCCAGGCUCCGACGGGAGGAAGCAGUGGGGAAUAUUGGACAAUGGGGGGAACCCUGAUCCAGCCAUGCCGCGUGUGUGAAGAAGGCCUUAUGGUUGUAAAGCACUUUAAGCGAGGAGGAGGCUCUUUUGGUUAAUACCCAAGAUGAGUGGACGUUACUCGCAGAAUAAGCACCGGCUAACUCUGUGCCAGCCGCCGCCGUAA
rnacentral:rRNA from 1 species